UACGAAGGGUGCAAGCGUUACUCGGAAUUACUGGGCGUAAAGCGUGCGUAGGUGGUUUGUUAAGUCUGAUGUGAAAGCCCUGGGCUCAACCUGGGAACUGCAUUGGAAACUGGCUUACUAGAGUGCGGUAGAGGGGUGUGGAAUUCCCGGUGUAGCAGUGAAAUGCGUAGAUAUCGGGAGGAACAUCUGUGGCGAAGGCGACACCCUGGACCAGCACUGACACUGAGGCACGAAAGCGUGGGGAGCAAACAGG
rnacentral:rRNA from 1 species